CACAUUAUGUCCUUCUUAUAGGGGUUAUCAAACGUGAUUCCUACUGUGCAGUAGAGAAAUGUUUCUGUGCUAUAGACAAAGAAUGUUCUCCCUCAAACGUGACUUGUGAAUGUCCAUGCACGUCGUCUUUGGAGUUCGACUAUUGCCGCAGUUUGUUUCCACAAAGCAGUGUUCCUCAGUGUCCACCUGUUUCUCUGCCACCUGGUUAUCCAAAGCCCGCGAACAACACAGCCUGUCUACAAAAAUGCUUCGACUCACGUUGUCCAGAGAGAAACAGUUCAAAACUGUGCGACGGUGUUGUUGAGUGCUAUUGGUGUCUCAAAAAUAA